ensembl:snoRNA
AACAUGUUUACUGGAAGAAAGCCUCUUUAAUAAAUGGUGCUGGAUGUAUAGUCAAAGGCAUGUGAGAGAAACACCUGCAUCUUAGUCCAAGGUUCUGAUAGAAAUGAUAUGCAGUUAUGCUGUCAUUUUUUACUACUAGGAUUCAACUGGUGUGUGAACAUU